AGGGUUUGAUUCUGGCUCAGAACGAACGCUGGCGGCGUGGCUAAGACAUGCAAGUCGAACGGACUAUGCAAUUGAGUAAUCGAGCGUAUAGUUAGUGGCGAAAGGGUUAGUAAUGGCUAGGUAACGUACCCCGUGCUUCAGGAUAGCGUCUAGGUGCUUGCACCUUUCCGAAAGGGGCGGUAAUACUGGAUAACAUCAUUUGUCGAUAGGUAGAUGAUCAAAGAUUUAUCGGCAUGGGAGCGGCCUAGUUCCUAUCAGCUUGUUGGUGAGGUAAUGGCUCACCAAGGCAUUGACGGGUAGCGGGACUGAGAGGUUGGCCCGCAACAUCGGGACUGAGACACUGCCCGGACCUCCACGGAGGGCUGCAGUAACGAAUAUUGGGCAAUGAGCGAAAGCUUGACCCAGCGACGCCGCGUGUAGGAGGAAGUCCUUCGGGAUGUAAACUACUGUCAGGGGUAAGAAAGUGCGUUUCGGCGCAUUGAUCUAACCCAGAGGAAGUCACGGCUAACUUCGUGCCAGCAGCCGCGGUAAGACGAAGGUGGCAAGCGUUGUUCGGUAUUACUGGGCUUAAAGCGUGUGUAGGCGGAAACUUAAGCGUUUUGUGAAAUCCCUCGGCUUAACCGAGGAAUUGCUCGACGAACUGGGUUUCUUGAGGCAGGUAGGGGUGCGCAGAACUCUUGGUGGAGCGGUGGAAUGCGUAGAUAUCAAGAGGAAUGCCGGUGGAGAAGUCGGUGCACUGGGCCUGACCUGACGCUGAGACACGAAAGCGUGGGGAGCGAACGGGAUUAGAUACCCCGGUAGUCCACGCCGUAAACGAUGCCUGCUAGGUUGUGGUGGUUCUGACGCCAGCACAGCCGAAGCUAAAGUGUUAAGUACGCCGCCUGGGGAGUACGGUCGCAAGGCUAAACUCAAGGGAAUUGACGGGGGCUCACACAAGCGGUGAGCAUGUGGAUUAAUUCGAAGCAACGGCGCAGAACCCUUACCAG
rnacentral:rRNA from 1 species